UACGGAGGGUGCAAGCGUUAUCCGGAUUCACUGGGUUUAAAGGGUGCGUAGGCGGGCAGGUAAGUCAGUGGUGAAAUCUCCGAGCUUAACUCGGAAACUGCCUUUGAUACUAUCUGUCUUGAAUAUUGUGGAGGUAAGCGGAAUAUGUCAUGUAGCGGUGAAAUGCUUAGAGAUGACAUAGAACACCUAUUGCGAAGGCAGCUUACUACGCAUAUAUUGACGCUGAGGCACGAAAAGCGUGGGGGAUCAAAACAGG
rnacentral:rRNA from 1 species